rnacentral:rRNA from 1 species
CGUGUAGGCGGUUGGGAAAGUCAGAUGUGAAAGCCCUGGGCUCAACCCAGGAAGUGCAUUUGAAACUUCUCAACUUGAGUACGGGAGAGGAAGGGGGAAUUCCCGGUGUAGAGGUGAAAUUCGUAGAUAUCGGGAGGAAUACCGGUGGCGAAGGCGCCCUUCUGGACUGAUACUGACGCUGAGACGCGAAAGCGUGGGGAGCAAACAGGAUUAGAUACCCUGGUAGUCC